rnacentral:rRNA from 1 species
CCUACGGGUGGCAGCAGUGAGGAAUAUUGGUCAAUGGACGAGAGUCUGAACCAGCCAAGUAGCGUGAAGGAUGACUGCCCUAUGGGUUGUAAACUUCUUUUAUAUGGGAAUAAAACGUUCCACGUGUGGGAUUUUGUAUGUACCAUAUGAAUAAGGAUCGGCUAACUCCGUGCCAGCAGCCGCGGUAAUACGGAGGAUCCGAGCGUUAUCCGGAUUUAUUGGGUUUAAAGGGAGCGUAGGUGGAUUGUUAAGUCAGUUGUGAAAGUUUGCGGCUCAACCGUAAAAUUGCAGUUGAAACUGGCAGUCUUGAGUACAGUAGAGGUGGGCGGAAUUCGUGGUGUAGCGGUGAAAUGCUUAGAUAUCACGAAGAACUCCGAUUGCGAAGGCAGUUCACUGGACUGCAACUGACACUGAGGCUCGAAAGUGGGGGUAUCAAACAGGAUUAGAUACCCUAGUAGUC